UACGGAGGGUGCGAGCGUUGUCCGGAAUCACUGGGCGUAAAGGGCGCGUAGGCGGCGCGACAAGGCGGCGGUGAAAGUCCGGGGCUCAACCCCGGAUCGGCCGUGGCGACUGUCGCGCUCGAGCACAGUAGAGGCGGGUGGAAUUCCGGGUGUAGCGGUGGAAUGCGUAGAGAUCCGGAAGAACACCGGUGGCGAAGGCGGCAUCCUGGACCGGUAUUGACGCUGAGGCGCGAAAGCGUGGGUAGCAAACAGGA
rnacentral:rRNA from 1 species